rnacentral:rRNA from 1 species
CAAAAACAUCGCCUCCUGCAAAAAUCAACGUAUAAGAGGUCCUACCUGCCCAGUGACUAAGUUAAACGGCCGCGGUAUUUUGACCGUGCAAAGGUAGCGCAAUCACUUGUCUUUUAAAUAAAGACCUGUAUGAAUGGUGAAACGAGGGCUUAACUGUCUCCCUUUUCUGAUCAGUGAAAUUGAUCUACCCGUGCAGAAGCGGGUAUAAAUAUACAAGACGAGAAGACCCUAUGGAGCUUUAGACAGAAAGUCAUCUAUGUUAAAAACCCCUAAUAAAAGAAGUAAAACAAAAUAGCAACUGACUAAUGUCUUCGGUUGGGGCGACCACGGGGAAAAACAAAUCCCCCAUGUGGAACGGGAAACUUCCCUAAAACCACGAGGUACACCUCUAAGUCACAGUACUUCUGACCAAAGGAUCCGGCACUUAGCCGAUCAACGAACCAAGUUACCCUAGGGAUAACAGCGCAAUCCCCUCCGAGAGUCCUUAUCGACAAGGGGGUUUACGACCUCGAUGUUGGAUCAGGACAUCCUAAUGGUGCAGCCGCUAUUAAGGGUUCGUUUGUUCAACGAUUAAAGUCCUACGUGAUCUGAG